rnacentral:lncRNA from 1 species
UUCCUAUAAUAGACAUUAGUUUAUUAUUGCAUCUUCUUUCCUUUAAUUUUGUUGAGGUUUUAUUGCUUAAUGAUGUGAAAUUCAGAAUUUCCCUGAAGAGUCAUGGGCAAGAGGAGUGUUGAGUGAUGGUGAUAACCUGACAGAAGAGAAAGUGGAUGAAAUAGUGAAGAAGUUUCUAAGAGAUUUCAAAGAAGGUUCAUUAGAGAGUGAAGGGUGGCCUAGGUAUCCAGGUGCCUAUAUUGUGUCAAAAGCUGCUAUGAAUGGAUAUACAAGAAUCCUUGCUAAGAAACAUCCUUCAUUCUGCAUCAAUAGUGUUUGCCCUGGUUAUGUGAAGACAGACAUAACAUCCAACACUGGCCUCCUCACAGUUGAAGAAGGUGCUGCUAGUCCUGUCAAGCUUGCACUGCUUCCCAAUGGCACUCCAUCUGGCUUCUUCUAUUACAGAACUCAUGUGGCUUCCUUUUGAUUUCUGAUCAUGAAAUUUUAAGGUUUGAGGGCAAAACCAUUGCUUUUGAUUCUCAAUUGCUGAACCUAUUUCAAUCACAUUAUAUCAUGUUGUAUUAAACUUGUGUUGUUUGGAUCUUAACAAAGUCUUGAACUGUGUAUGCAAUACAAUUAAUAUUUAAGUACCAAAAGCAUUUAUUUUAAAUUUGACAGAUGAAAAUAUUCUUUAGAAAUUUGAGGAAUAAAACAGAUUUACCUCCAGUUUUAAGGUUAGAAUAUAAUUAAACCAUAAAUAUACAUCAAAUUUUAUGAAAAAUAUUCGUCCACAUAAAAUAUCUAGUAUUAUUAUAAAUUACACGUGUAUGGUAAGUCGAAUUAUAACUAUAAAUUUAAUAUGUGAUUUAUAUAUUUAUAUACCUAUUUAUCACAAGUAAGAGAGAUAAGUUUCAAUUAAUUUUUAUUAUAAGAAAAUAUUCACCUAUAUCAAAUUAAAAUGAAUUUCAGUUCAAUAAGGUCUAAUCUUAUAUCAUUUAACACGAGAAAAACGAUAGUAUAAUUGUGGUAAAAUAAAUCUAAAUCGUUUUUCUACUAAUCCAAUAAUAAAUUCGUAUCCAAAAUUUAUCUACAAUCAAAAUAAUUAAAAAUAACAAUAAAGUAAAUGAAGUUAAGUUUAUUUAACAUAAAUUAAAAUAGGAGAUAAGAAUAUAAAAGAAAGCAAGUUGACUUUAAAAUUAAUUUUCACACUUAACUAAAUUCAACAAUCUUAUCAGAAAUAUUCAGUAUGUCAUUUUUCUCUAAGCAUUUAUUUAUAAAAUAUUUAUUUUUGAUUCCUUAAAUUAAUAAAAAAAUUGAUUAAAACAAAAAAAAACUAAUUUUCAUUUGUUUGUGCAUUCUUUGUUACGUGUGUGUGUUGAUGUCCAUUUUUAUGCAUGUGGGGUUCUGUCUCGAGUUUCGCCAGAUGGGGCUGCAAAUUUGCGGAUUUGAUUGCAGUAGUUUGGCAAUUGUUUACGCCCAAUUAAUUUUCACUCCCAAUCAAAAUUUUAAAACUUCAUUCUCCCUUUAUCUUCUAUAUUAUGAAAAUGUAGGUUGAGUUGCAGAGAAAGUUGGUGUUCUCUGAUGUUUGAUGGAAGUAGAGGAUGUGUUUUUGUGUGAUGGUUGAGGUGGAUUGUUUCACUGUGAGAUAAAAAUACAUUUACACUAAUUUCUGCGUUUUAUUUGAAUUGAGAAAGUUGAGAAAGUUUCAGAUAAAAAUAUCCGAAAACUUGAAUGUUAGCUUUCGGAUUCACCCAUCCGGAAUUCAUUAUUAUUCACUCCGGAUAUACAAAUCUGUAAGCAAUUAAAACUUCCAGCUGAAAGUUCUGGAUGCACAUGUACGUAACUGGAAAAUGAGUUCUGGAGAAAAUGAUCCGAAAUGUGAUAGGUUGAUUAAGAACAUUUUAAUCUUUUCAUGAUUAAUUGGGUGAUUAACUUUAUUUGUAGUUUUAGUGCAGAUGGGGUCCUUCUUUUCUUCGACCAUGCAAUUGUUCCUUUUUUAUAUAUAACUGGAGCCCACCAAUAUUUGCUGCAAUUGGGCCCAUCAAAUAGCAUGCAAAUAUAGGGUCCACGGAUUUGAUGUGUCUUAUUCCUUCAUGUCUCAUUCUACCCAAGAUAUUAAAUUACAGAAUUACCCUCCAUCAUUUAGAAUAUGGAAUUAGGUUAGCAUUUGGUAAAGGCAGUUUCUAUGUAGAGUGGGGGCGGCGACGGACCGCGACUGUGAUGUACGGUGGGUGGUAGUAUUGGACAACAACACUUUCAGAUAUACAUAUUCAUAAGGGUUAUGGAUAUUCAAAUCCACAAGCAUGACUUGAUUUGUGAUUAUUAUUUUUAUGAAAACUUGCUUGUAUAUCAUGAUGCCAUAUUUUAUGAUGCAUGGUAAGAUGGUGAGAACUAGUGGAGUAGAAUCCUCUAAGGCUGACUAUGUGCGACCAACUACAUCUGUGAAAAGAAAGUGUGUUGGUCCUAGUAAUUAAGUUGAAAAUGAGUUAUUUGAAGAUAAUGUUGAACAUAAUAACGUUGAACAUGAAGAAGUGGAAAUUGAGAUGAAGGCUAUCUUGGAGGGCCAGCGGAUAAGUUAUUGUUGGUUAAUUAUGAAAAGCAAGUGACAAGACAAUUAUGGGAUGGUGUGGUAAGUAAUGAAGAUUUUAUAUCACUAGUUAAUUGAGCGUGUUAUGUAUUAUAUUGAAAUUUUAAAAUGGUAUUCAUUGAUUAAUGUAGGAUCCUGGUGAGCUUAAAGUUGUUUCUCAUGGGAGAAAGGUGAAUAAGUUGGGAACACCAUAUGAGCGAAUAGACGUUGCAGUGCAAACGUCUGACUUAGGUGGUCUCAUACAUGUAAGUUAUGAGAAUGUAAACAUAGGAUUGCUUUGUGCAUUCGUAAAGAGGUGGCAUGCAAAGACUAACACAUUUCAUUUACUUAUUGAGGAGAUGACUAUCACACUUGAUGAUGUGUCAAAUUUGUUGCAUUUGCCCAUUGUUGGCCAAUUUUAUACCUAUCAGACCUUAGAUGCAGAUAGGGUAAAAUAACCAUCUUGUUAAUCGAAUCCCAACAUAAACAUAAGCCCCCCAUUGAGUAGGGGGCUUUAGGGUUUAGGUAAACCUUAGAAAAUUAGGUUAAAUAAGGGGUUAGAGGCUCAACCCUAGUGUGUUAGAUUGAGAGGAAAACACCAUUGAGUGAAUUGUAACCCAAUUGGGAGAAUAGAAGGUGCUAGAAGUAUGUGUGGCUAAUUCUACCCUUUGGGAUUGAGUUCUUAAUUGAUUUUUGGUAUUGUUGUUUUAUUUCUAAAUUUUCGUGACAAAUUGAGAAUCUUAAAUCUGAUUGGAAAGUAUUCUUAGGGUUCUAACCUAAACAACAAUAUUUAACCACAAUCAUUUCAACAUUCUUCUUAAUUGUUUUGUUUCAUAUUUAGCGAUUAUUGUACUUGAUAAUUCAUUGUUCCUUGUGGGAACGAUAUCCGUCAAUUAUUACUUCUGACAAACGCGGUGCACCUGCCGUAGAAAGUCAUCACCCACACUCCUACAUUCAUGUACAAUUACUAAAUUAUCCUUGGGACUUUUUAAGAACCCUAGAGGCAGCAAAGCACCCUCACCAUUUUUCUUUCUUCCUUCUCUGCAACUUUGGUAAGUAGCUCUUUCCAGCAACGUUGCGUUCGGAGAGGAGGGUAAGUUAGUGUCUUUUUUGUUUCCAAAAAUGGGCAAUCCGUUUUUCUUUUUGCAAAUUAGGGAUUCCAUAAUGACAUGGUGACUCUUCGGGAUUGACCAGUUCAUAAUACCAAACCGAAAUAGGUGAUUAAGAAUUGAACCAAAAUAUGUUGUUCAAAAUGAAAUUGGAUUUGCAAAUCCGAUAUAAGGUUAUGUGCAAUUUUUGUGUUGAUUUAGAGUUCACCCAUAUAACUGGUUGAUGUUGUUUUCUAUUUGAUAACAAUGAAUAAUGAAUCAAAAGAUUAAUUUUCUUAUAUAAUGGAGUUUCCAUUGAUUUUCAAGAAACAAGAAAUGCUCUUGUUAAAGCAUUUGAUCUUUCACUAUCUAUUCUCAUAGUUGGAGUUAUAAAUGUUGACUUAACAAGCAUGGAAGUUUAGUAUCCAUGCUUGUCCAAGUGUUUUCCUUAGACCCUUUUAAUUAUUCAAUAGCAUGACAAUGCUUUGUUGCUAGAGAGAAUGAAUAGAUACACUUGUUUGUUAACAUGUGCUAAAUGCUGAUAAUGGGCGUCGAUUAAAGAGUUCUUAUAAUCAUGUAGCUACACGAGAUUUAGUACAAUUUGAUUCUAUGAGAGAAGUACAUAGUAAGUAUCAGUUGCUUCUCAAGUUAACUUGCUUUGCCUUUUGAGUAGAUAAUAAGCACAAUAUAUCAAACAAAUAGUUACACAUGUCAUGUCUCCCAUUUCUCUUGCUUCUUUUGACUCCUCCAAUUUGUUUUAAUUUAUUUCAUUUAAACGAAUUCUCUUUCAUGUGUAUUUAAUAGGUGGACAAAUAUAUUUUGUGCAAGUUCUUUAGGAAGAACUACCUAAAGAUUUGUUGUCUUUCAUGCAAAGCAAACACAUCUAGCCUCAGUCACGACCUUCUCACUUCCCUCAAGCAUCCACAUCCUCCAUGCGAUAGAUUUUAUCAUUACAGACCACCAACAAGCUAUUUGUUCUUAUUUCAAUAGUUGGUCACAAAACCGAUUCAAUUUUAGUGGCCAAAAUUUUAAUAAAUAAACUAAUUUGAAUCUCUUCAAAUUUGAUUUAUUUAUUUUAUUAAAACGAAUAGUAAACAGAAGCAAGAUAAAUUUGAGAUGUAUAUCAAUGUAAAGAGUUUGCUUGGGAAAUAUUAUAUAAAAAAAUUCACCAAUUUGCAAAUCAAAAUAAUGCAUUUCGAAUAGGCCAUUUUGGAAUAUUUUUUGACAGAAAAUGCUAACUUACGAAUUACCCAUUCUAGAGUGCAUUUAUAUAAUUCUAGAUUACCUAGUCUAGAUUACCUAGUCUGAUACUUCUCAUAACCCAAAACCUCUACACUCCAUAACUACCCAAAGCUCUUAAACGAAACUCAUUUCUUAUCCCCAAAAACAACUAAGACUUCAAAAGGUAGUCACACCUCCACCCUUAACACACCCUCUACCAGCGGCAACAAUCAUAGCGGAAAAACAACCCUUCCAUGGAAGCCAUCAAUGCUACCUUUAAAAUAAAACUGUCAGGACUAAUUUUGGUAUUUUGUAAAAUUUAAGCGUGCUGGAAGAAAAAUGUAGGGGUUCAGGAAGAAACAGCCAUUUUUAAAUUUGGACCCAUACGUUGGCCCAUCAAUUAUACUAAAUAUCACUCAGCUUUUACAUAUACAAGCCAACAGUUUUUAUUUCCUUUAAAAACGUUUGGGCCAGUUAGUUCGGCGGAACAUGUCUACUAUUUGCCACUCACGUUUUCAUAUCUGUAUCAUAUUUUAGAAGCUCAUUGGAUUGACCCAGCAUCUUUGCUAUUUCCACCCGCUCCUUUUUUAUACACCUAUCAGCUUUCAUUUUCUCUCAAAGGUGGUCGUUUUCAUACACAGCAAUUGUUUUUUUGAAAAGGGAAAUAAUAAUAAUAAUAAAUACAAAUAUAAUAUUGACUUUACGUGCAAAUAAAUUUCAGAGAUUUACAUAACCGCACACAUAAUCUUCUAUUUGAUAUUUAAAAAAAUAAUAAUAUGACUCUUCUUCAAAAUAUAUGUUUUUUCUUAAAUAAAGUUCACGCAAACAAUUAAGUAUAUUAAUGUGUAAUUUACACUAUCUAUGCUUAAAAGAGUUAAAUAUAGUUGUUCACACUAUCUUAUACUCUAAUUAUUGUAAACUACAAAAAAUUACAAAUUCUUAAAGACAUAAAAAUUAACCUAGAUAUUUACCUUUAGAACAACUUAGUCCUAAUUUUCAUUAUGAAUAGAAAAUUCAUGCAGUCUGUGGGACCUAAAUAAAAAAUUCAAAAAUAUUUUCAUUAUUUUCACAUGCUUUCCUUUUAGGAGAAAAGUAAACAUUUUUAAAACAAGAAAAACUCACAUUAUUUUUAUAUAUUUAAUUAAAUGUAUUGUCUUCAAAUAGAUGUUAUAGGGUGCUAACACCUUUCCCACACCUAACUGAGUCACGAACUCUAAAUUUGGUGUUGCAGACCAUUUCUUUUGGUUUUUCUAGAAUUUUCCGUAAUAAACUAUGGUGACUCCUCUGUUUUUCAAAGUUAUUUCACUACCUCAUCGUGAUCCCUCUAAAUUUUCAACAAGCGUUCAAAAACAAUUCAUUAACAAAAAUCAGAAUUCAAAAAGAUUAGACCUUCUAACACACUGUUAUAGAGAAUCUUAAGAAUAAGACUUCUUUGAACAUAGAUCUCAUAAUUCAUUGUGAAAUCAUAGGAGAAUUAACCCAAAGGAGUUUACUUUUCCAUGCAGAGGCAAAACGAAAAGAUUACAAAGAAGAAAACAAAAAAACUAAGAAAUGUUAAUGCUUUGUUUUUUGAAUGUUGUUGUGAAGUUUGACCUUUCUCCUUGAAGCGAAGCUUGCAUCUUUUUAUAGGUUUCUAUGCUCCAAAUAUCUUGGAAAUAUAUUUUGAUUCAGAUAUUGUUCACAUUUUUUCAGUUUCCAACCUUCCAAAAUUCUCGUAUUUUGUUUUCACUUUUACUGUGAACUUUGUUUCUUCAUAUUUUUGUUGAAAAUUCGCUUCCAAUUCUUUUUUUUUAGAUAUUGUGGGUUUUUUCUCUCUCAUUCUUCUACUCAAAUCUUGUUAUCCGUUUGGACUCAUAGAAGCAACUUGAACUUUUUCGUAAUUCAGCUCACUCACAAUGAGAGACGAUUCAUUCAGAUAAUUUAGUUAGAAAAUUUUAUCAGAUCGUCUAUUUUGAGAAAAUAUUAGGUUCUCUUAAGAUUAAUAAAAAUAACAAUUAAGAUCAAAGUAAAUAAAUUAGACUUAUUUCAAUUAAAAUAGUGAAUUCAUUAAUAAUUAUAGUCCAAUUAAGAAUCUAUAAUUAGAUUUAUUGUGGCUUCAUUAUUUUUAUCUUUUAUCAGUUAAACAUAAAAUUUAUUAUAAUACAUAAAUAAGUGUUGAUUUUAUAAACUUCAAUUAAACUUAAAUUCCUGUAAUUAUUAUUAAUAGUAUAAGUAUUUAUGAUAUUCUGAAUAUUGUAAUGUCUAAAAUAUAUAAAAAUUUGAAUUGUAGUUGUUUAGAAUGGUACGCAAUUUAUUUGAUUUGAAUGAGAAAUUUGGAAGGUAUAGUAAUGGUAGGGUAGGCAGAAUCAAGGUGAAAGUUUGUUUGACUUUCUGGUAUAAAAGAAAAGAAGGCAGAAAGGAAGGAUGUUUUGAUUUGUAUAUUUGUUAUUGUUUUUAUUUUAGUUUUAAACAUAUUUGUUUUUACUUUAUUUUAUUUUAUUUUAAUUUACAGAUUGUUGUUAUUAUUCUAAUUCUUAUUUUGAAUUUAUUUGUUUUUAUUUAUUUUCUGAUUUAUUUUGAAUUCUCUUUGUUUUAUUUAAUUAGAAUUUAAUUUUCUGUUUAUUUUUUUAAAAUAAAUAAAAUUAUAUCUUGUUCUUCUUUUCUACUAAUAACUUUUUUAAGAGGAAAGCAACAUGGGAGAAGCACAAAUAUCACCUCCUAAGAAGAACUUGGAGAUUAUGACAUGUACCCAGAGUCAAGACAUUCUUUUAGUAUUGCAAUAUCUACUAUCGUCAAGGCUUUGGAAAUAUAACCCGAUUUUCUCACUCUCAUUAGUUUCUAUCAAUUUAGAGCAAUUGAUCAUGAGGAUCAAUAUUUACAUUUGGACACCUUUUAAGAAUUGGUGGGAAUAAUGGGUUUUCAAUCAGUUAUAUUGAAAUUGUUUAUAUGCGCUUGUUUCCUUUCUCAUUGGCAGAAAAAGCUAAAGAAUGUGAUGUGAUUCCACUAGCCAUAUAGAGAAUGAUUCUUGACAUUCUUAGGAAUCACCUUGAGCUGGACAUUAUAGAGGCACUUUUCUUAGAGUUGGAUCAUUGUUCUAAGACAAGAACUCACCAAAAACUAGUACCAAAUCCCAAACUCAUUUGGAUGCUCCACAUAUUGUCAAAUUGAACCAACAAAGAGAGGUAAAAUUGAAAGGACCGAACAGAAUUGANNNNNNNNNNNNNNNNNNNNNNNNNNNNNNNNNNNNNNNNNNNNNNNNNNNNNNNNNNNNNNNNNNNNNNNNNNNNNNNNNNNNNNNNNNNNNNNNNNNNCAGCUGGUGGCACAAUGAUGACUCUUGAUGCAAAACAAGUAACGAGGCAUCAACUAAUUCUCAAGCCCAAUAUGAUGAACGAAGUAUUCAGAAGAAAGUGUGGCUCAAAGAUGCAUUCUUUGCUCAAAAAAAAAUUUUGACAUAGCAGAUUGAGCAGCUAAACACAUAGAUGACUAAUUUGCCCGCCAAAUUACAUGUUGUUCACUCAUCUCAAAGUCAAAAUCAAGAACUAAGAUGUGGAUUGUGUGGAGGUGAUCAUUCCAAUGGGCAUUGUGCUUAUCAGAAUACUUCAUCUAGAGAAAAAGUUUUUGACAUGGAAGAUCAAAAGAUAUUUUUUAACAACACCAACUACUAGAUCCUUCGUUCCAUGAGAGAAUGAGCAAAAUGGAAGAUAUUACAGAAAAGUCUACACAAACAGUAUUGACUAUGCAAAAGAAUGUUGAGAAUUUGGAAGCACAAAUUGGGGAAAUUACACAAGAGUUGAGGGAACUCAAGGAUAAAUGUAAGUCAAUCACUACUAGAAGUGAAAUAGUUAUAGGAAGGGGGAUCGGUGAUAAUCUACAAAGUGAGGAAAGAGACAUAGAGAGUAAAGAAAAGAGAAAAAGUGAGGAAAGAAUAAACAAAGAGAAGAGAGAGAAAAAAAUGAGAAGGUACCGGAAGAAAAGAAACUUAAAUUCCUGUAAUUAUUAUUAAUAGUAUAAAUAUUUAUGAUAUUUUUUAUGAGAAAAACUCACGCGGAAGCAACACACACAAUCAUGAAUCAACUGCAAAAAAAAUAAACAACACAAGAUUUAACGGGGUUCAGUCACCAACUACAACCUACAUUCACACGGGCAACUAUUAGGUUUUCAUUCUAUCAUGUUGCACACCAAUUACAAGUACAAUGAUAUCUUUAAAUAGAGAUUAUAAAAGGGACACAAUGAUUAAGCUCACUCACUAAACAUGGUGUAUAGUCAACCCAACCCAAUUGGUCCUGACUUUAUACUCAAUAAUCUCCCACUUGGAGCCACGUUGCACAUCAAUUACAAGUACAAUGAUCUCUUUAAAUAGAGAUUAUAAAAGGGACACAAUGAUUAAGCUCACUCACUAAACAUGGUGUCUAGUCAGCCCAACCCAAUUGGUCCUGGCUUUAUACCCAAUAAUCUCCCACUUGAAGCCACGGAACAAUGUUCAUUUGCGCUUCAACUGUGUACAAUGAUUAAACUCACUCAGUAAACAUGGUGUCUAGCCAGUCCAACCCAAUUGGUCUUGACUUCAUACCCAACAAUUUUGAAUAUUGUAAUGUCUAAAAUAUAUAAAAAAAAAGUUGAAUUUGUAGUUGUUUAGAAUGGUACGCAAUUUAUUUGAUUUGUAUGAGAAAUUUGGAAGGGUAUGGUAAUGGUAGGGUAGGGAGAAUGAAGGUGAAAGUUUGUUUGACUUUCUGGUAUAAAAGAAAAGAAGGCAGAAAAAAGGUGUUGAUGAAAGGAAAGAGAAGUGAAAGGGGUUCAUGAAAGGUAAGCUUCUUUUGUUCUUGUUAUGCAUUCAUUGUUCCUCCUUCUCUUAUAUAUAAGCUGAAUCAGUCUUUUCACUUUCAUAUUAAGAUUUUUUGAAUUACUUCUCUAUUAUGCUCCUUAGUUCUUCUCAUCUUCACCUUUAUGCUGAGUUUCAAGAAUGGGUUUUUGAGGUCCAUAUUUUCUCCAUUUUUGUAAGAUUUAUCCCUUUCUUUCUUUUUUUGGAAGAUAAAUUGUUAACAACAACUUUUUUUGUUUCAUGAUUUCUUCUUCUCCUCUCUUUUGUCUUUUCUUUUCUUUUGGGGAGUAUGAUUUCUUCUUCUCCUCUCUUUUGUCUUUUCUUUUCUUUUGGGGAGUAUGGAGAUUGAUGUAUCAGUUUGCACCUUUUUUUAUACUUUGAAUUAAAUUAAGCUCCCGAUUAUUUAUUUAUUUUUCUUUAUUUUCUAUGUAUAUAUAAAACUAGAGUCUUAAUAAAAAAAUAAUUUCAUUAAUUUUUUUCUUUAGUAACUAUUGUGUGUUUAUUCAAAAAAAUAAUUAGUAUUAAUAUAUUAUUAAUCUUUCAUUUUUUAUUUUUUUUAAAUUUAAAGAUUUUUUUAGUGAGUAUCUCAAGACGGUAUAUUAAUAAGAGUUAAAUAUGUUUUUCCCUUUUAUUGAAAUUAGUUGUUAUCCUAAUCAAAACUUCAAAUUUAUUGAUUAAUUGUAAUAAGAAAACUAUUGGAGUAGAUCUUUAUAUUUUUUUUACGUAAUAAAUAAAUUUUUAUUAUAAAUUAUAUUAUUAUAUUAUUAUAAUACUAUAAUAUUCUAAUAUUGUAACAGAUGAGUAAAUUAUAAAAUAUUUUAAUAUCUUAAUUUACACUUAAAAAUAUAUUUUUGUCAUAUAAAAAAUCUAAAGUAUAGACUAAAACAAAAAUAAAGUUAACGUAAAAGUAUAAAUUAUUGAAUUAUGUCAAAUAUUAAUUAAAUUUAAGGACUAAAUACAUAUUAAAUUAUUAAAUUAUGUCAAAUAUUAAUUAAAUUUAAAUAAAACUAAUGAAAAUAAAAAAUUUACAAUAAAAAUAUAUCUUUUUUAAUGUUCUAAAAAUGAAAUAGGAAAAUAUUUAUCAUACUGCACUGUUUAACCGAAGAAAAAUCGUGCUUUCUUUUAUUGUCUAGAUUACGUUCAGGAAUAAGUUUCAUAACUUUUAAGAAAUUAAAAAUAUAUUUAAGUCUAAAUUAUAAAAAGAUAAUCAAAGAAUAAAAUAAUGUUCUAUAAUUUGGAAUAUAAAUAAGACAUUUCUUCAUUUAUUUUGGUGUGGAUAUGUGCACAUGUUUAGAAUUCAAAAACAAGAAUGUAAUAUAUUUAUAUUCUACAGUAAGAAUUUCUUACUCUGCAAAUUGGAGAGAAUUUUAACAUGGAAGAACUGUUAGACAAGUAACUUAUUUCAUAAAAAAUACAUUGUUUAGUUGAAAUAAGCACAAAAGGAGAAAGCCAUUUUUUGGCUAACCAUUUCUUUCUAUUUUUUAUUUUUAUUUCAACUAAAAUUGGUAUUAAUUGUUCUUAAAUCUAUUAUAUACAUUAGUUGUUCAUUCAUUCAUUCAUUUAUAAUGAUAAAAUAAAAUAAAUAUAUAACUUUGCUGAAGAAGACCAUGUCCUCUGUUCUGAAUUUGGAAUUUUCUUUAACAAUCUUCUGUUCUGUAUUGUGAUAUUUAUUAAUACUAGGAUAAAGGAUUAAUUAAUUCGCGGAAGAAGAUCAGAUUAUGUUUUUUCAAAAUUCAUGAUGAUUAAUUACAAAUGGAUCAAACUUCAAGAACUAUGAAUACAUUUUCACCUAUAUAGAAUACAUGAGAAUAAAAAUUUAAAUAAAAUAUACACAAAUUACAAGGAAAUGAAACAUUUGUCUUUUUCAUAUUUAAUAAGAGUUGCAGACUUAGCAGAUAAGCAUUGUUACUGUUAAAUUUUUCUUAUUAUAAAAAAAUAUAACAUUAACAAGGACAACAGGUUUGCAAUAAUUGACUUGAAAGUUGAAACUGAAGAUGGGAGAAGCAUCAGAAAGGUAGAACCUUAGAAUUCUUGCUGUUUUUCAACUUUCAAUCUUCAGUUUUAUUGUUGAACUCAAAGUCUUACAUUUUUGUGAAUUCCUUUUAACCUUUGUGGGUUUGAAUUGAUCAGGUAUGCAGUUGUGACAGGUGCAAAUAAAGGAAUUGGAUUAGAGAUAGUGAAGCAGUUAGCCUCAGCUGGGAUCAAGGUGGUGCUCACAGCAAGAAAUGAGGAGAGGGGUCUGCAUGCAAUGGAAACAAUAAAAGCCUCAGCUCUAUCUCACCUUGUAAUGUUUCAUCACCUCGAUGUGGCUGAUGCAACCACUGUAGCCUCUCUGGCUGAUUUUAUCAAAUCUAAAUUUGGGAAACUUGAUAUUCUGGUAAAAUUCAUCUUUGAUUCUCCUCUCUCCCCCUUUUCUUUUUCCAAGUUUGGUUGUAAAUGAAGUUCUGUCACAGCAAUCUUACAAGUGCAGAAAUGUUUUCGCUUAGUUUUCUUUUUGUAUGAUUCUGAAUGUUAUUUUUUACUUUUUUCUUAUUUCCCUUUGCAUGUGGGUGUAAUCAUUGUUGGAAUGUUAGUGCUGGUUCUGCAUGUUAAGAAUGAGAAAUAUUUUUGGUAUAAUCUGUCUUCUUUAUGUAUCAGGUUAUGCUCUUCUGUAUCAUUAGCAUUUGGUAUUAAGUAAGAUUCAGUUUCGAGUUACCAACUUGAAAGAUUUCUUUCAUAUUUAGUUAUCGAGUAAUGUUAGAGAUCACACAUACACACUAGAGAUUAAGAACAUUUCAUAUAUAAGUGACUGCAAACUUCAUUUUCAUCUUAUAAACUGAUUUUAUAUGAUUGAGUUAGGUUUAAAGUUCACAGUAAUUCUAAAUUUUCUUGAUUGCUUUAAAGGGAAUCUCAUGACCUGUGAUUUUGGAUGUUUGCAUAUUUCAUUAAGGAAAAUUGUACAAUGCAGGUUAACAAUGCAGGGAUUGGUGGAGCAGUAAUCAAAGACAUUGAUAUAUUUCCUUCAGUUCUCCUCAACCGUGGGGUGAGUAUCUAGGCCUUCUCAAAUGCUAGUUAAUAGACGAAUUGCCCAGAAAGAUUUUAUACUAUUCAAGCUCUCUGAAUUACAAUAUCCUUUCUAUUAAAUAGCUUAUCCUUAACUUGAUAACAAAGUGAAAACUUUUAUCAAUUCUGAUUAGAGCUCAGGCAUUUCAUCUUAUCUUGAUAAUAUUCAGAAUGUUGGAAUUUGCCCUUUUUGCAAUGUUAAAGUGACAGUACAUGAGAAAUGUAGUUGUUAGAAAGGUUGUGAUUGGUUUAUUUUGGAUGAAGGAACACUAUUGGGAGUUUUGAAAGACUUUCUUGAUAGAGUGUUGUCUAUUCUGCAGAUUGUAUCGGAAGAAGAUGGAACAAAGGCAAUGACUCAAACAUACGAGUUAGCUGAAGAAUGCUUGCAAAUAAAUUACUAUGGAACUAAAAUAACUGUAGAAGCACUUAUGCCCCUCCUCCAAUUAUCUGAUUCACCAACAAUUGUGAAUGUAUCAUCCACUAUGGGACAGUUAGAGGUAGGCAAUAACUUCUUUUGCCAAUAAAUACUGAAUGGUUUUGCAUAAAAUCUGACUGGAAAGUCUAAAGAAAGAUUAAACUUGAAAUUCUUGUUUUAGGUAGCUGACUGACUGAAAGGUGUACCUACUCUUCUAGACUUAAGAUACUAAUAAAUUCUAGAUUGAUCUUUCUGUAUAAUAGCCAAUUCAUAUGUUAACCUUGAGUUUAAACAAAAAUAGUAUAACAUCUUCCAAGUUUCAAUCAUUCUUCAAAAGGGUCUUGUAAUUUAUAAUUAGCAUAGGUGCAUGCAUAGAUAUGUAUCUUUGUGCAUCUCUUUUACAACUUAAAAAAAAAUGAACAAAGUAAUACACUAAAAGAUGAUAGCAAAUGUUGUUUACAGUAGAAGGAACAAGCCUGGUUAUAACAAGUGGAUCUCCACUCUAGUCUGAAAUCAUAUGAUUGCUAACACCAGCUCUAGUUAGCAUUCUAUAAGAUAUUCAACCAAAAUCUUCAGUUUAUUCAAAAUUUUGCUAUAAUAGAUAUUAGUUUAUUAUUGCAUCUCCUUUCCUUUAAUUUUGUUGAGGUUUUAUUGCUUAAUGAUGUGAAAUUCAGAGUUUCCCUAAAGAAUCAUGGGCAAGAGGAGUGUUGAGUGAUGGUGAUAACCUGACAGAAGAGAAAGUGGAUGAAAUAGUGAAGAAGUUUCUAAGAGAUUUCAAAGAAGGUUCAUUAGAAAGUGAAGGGUGGCCUAGGUAUCCAGGUGCCUAUAUUGUGUCAAAAGCUGCUAUGAAUGGAUAUACAAGAAUCCUUGCU